AACGAACGCUGGCGGCAUGCCUAACACAUGCAAGUCGAACGACAGCACCAGGUCGCUUGCCGUACGGGUGCGGAACGGGGCGGAACCGGCCCACAGGUUUGGAAUAACUCCUCGACAGGGGGACUAACAGCGGAUAGUGUCUCCGAACCAACGAUUUCUCGCCAUUGGAUGGGCCCGCGUUGGAUUAGCUAUUUGGUAGAGUAAAAGCCUACCACGGCGAAGAUUCAUAGCUGGUUUGAGAGCAGGGUCAGCCACACUGGGACUGCGACAUGAACCAGACUCCUACGGGAGGCAGCAGUGGCGAGUAUUGGCCAAUGGGCGAGAGUCUGAUACAGCCAUGCUGCGUGAGUGAUGCAGGUCUUAGGGGGGUAAAGCUCGUUUCACCGGGGUGUUCAUGACAGUACCGUAAGAAUAAGCACCGGCUAACUCCGUG
rnacentral:rRNA from 1 species